AGAAUGAUUCGAAAUGGAGGCAGAGGGAGCCAAGCCUGUAUUCACUCAGCCUUGCAAAGAGGAAACUUCAUUUGAAACAUACAUAACUUCCUCUGUGCCAGCUACUCAUUCCUUUUGUUUUCAACCAGCUAGCAGAUCAAAAGAAUUAAGGAGAUUAAAAAGCAGAGUGACUCAGUGACUUCAUACAUCAAAACAGGAAAGUGUUGAAUGAAACCAUUUCUAGGCAAAGUGACUACACAGAGAAGGACCAUAAAAGGCAGCUCAAGGGGAGGAAACACCUCAAGCUUGUUCCCCCUCCCCCCACCUUCUCACAUAAAAUGCAAAACCAGAUACAUGUCAGAAGAAAAACCCAGAAUAGAUGCAAAUCAAAUCCACUUAAGUUCAGAGGUCUGCAGAAUCUCGCUGGGGCAGAGGGUGUUGAGAAGGUGCAUUGCUGGCAGAUUUCCUGUCCCUUUAAAGUCUUGUGGUCUGCGCAGUCGCCUUGAUGCCUGGCUCGCCUGCCUGGAGGAGGAAAGGUCCCUAAGUGUGCUGCUGCCUUCCUGCCCCAGAAUCCUUCAUCUGGCCUGGAGUCAGGAUUUGCCAGUUUCUCUUAAUACAGGUGGAGUGUGCUUUAAGCCUGCAGAUGUGAUUUGCUUUGAACAAUGUUGAUAGACAGACUUAAUGUCAACAAGGGUUUGGGAUGUGCUAGCAAAGUAGAGCUUGCCUCUGCUAUUGCAAUGGAAAUUGCAUGCCCACAUCAGCCUAACAGUUCAAGAAAGAUGGUACUCAUGUGGAGAAUAUUCUGAAUCACAGAGGUGCCAUGGCCAACCAGCAGAUGUAUGAAUAUAAAGAUUUUUAUUUUAAGCCACUGAAUUCUGUUGUGGUUUGUUACCCAUCAUUACUUUAACAAUAGCUGACUGAUAUAACAGCAUAAUCCACAAAUAAAAAAAUUCAGAAAUAAAUCUACUACUCAACAGUAGUAUUGUUUAAGUAAACUAUGGUAUACUCACACAAUGGACAUGGGGCUAUUGAAAACAAUAUUACUGAAGAAUAUUCAUUAUAAUGGAAAAUGCUCAUAAUAUACUUGCUAAGUGAAUAUAUGAUUAUAAAAUAUUGUGCAUGAAAUGAUUUUUGGGGUAGAAAAUAUGUAUAAAUUUCUAUCUGUAUGUUAUGUAUACAUUUAUACAUAAAUUUAAAUUUUUCUACAAGAAAGAUUAAAAAGGUUAGGACCAAAAUAUU
rnacentral:lncRNA from 1 species